GAUGAACGCUGGCGGCGUGCCUAAUACAUGCAAGUCGAGCGAACAGACGAGGAGCUUGCUCCUCUGACGUUAGCGGCGGACGGGUGAGUAACACGUGGAUAACCUACCUAUAAGACUGGGAUAACUUCGGGAAACCGGAGCUAAUACCGGAUAAUAUAUUGAACCGCAUGGUUCAAUAGUGAAAGACGGUUUUGCUGUCACUUAUAGAUGGAUCCGCGCCGCAUUAGCUAGUUGGUAAGGUAACGGCUUACCAAGGCAACGAUGCGUAGCCGACCUGAGAGGGUGAUCGGCCACACUGGAAGUGAGACACGGUCCAGACUCCUACGGGAGGCAGCAGUAGGGAAUCUUACGCAAUGGGCGAAAGCCUGACGGAGCAACGCCGCGUGAGUGAUGACGGUCUUCGGAUCGUAAAACUCUGUUAUUAGGGAAGAACAAAUGUGUAAGUAACUAUGCACGUCUUGACGGUACCUAAUCAGAAAGCCACGGCUAACUACGUG
rnacentral:rRNA from 1 species